rnacentral:sRNA from 1 species
AUUUUGAGUUCAUCAACGCCUGUAAUCAUCCUGUGUUUUUACACACCCUAUAUUUCAUAACGCGUCCAAAGUGGCGCGUUAUUUUU